GCGUACAAUACAAGAUGGAGUUAACAUUUUCGAUAAUUUCAUCGAUCUUGGCGUUCCAGUCGUUCCAGUGCAUCAUAAGAGCAAAGCGCUUUCACGCAGGCAAUGUUUCUAUGUGAAGAAAAUUGCUGAUUGUUAAUACGUGGUCAGGUUCCGCAUAAAAAAAUAAGAACCCAGCCUUCUUACACGGCGACAUCCUAAUGGACGACGCCAUUUCGUUCGAUACAUUUGUGGACAGCACAGGGUUUCUGUCUGCAAGCGGGUACUGGCCUUCCCACCAGCCAAUCCCCUACGAAAUACACGAAUUUAAUCUCGAAGAAAGACAGAAAAUAAUGGACGCACUAAAUGAAAUUGAAUGGCGUAGUAAAGAAUGUAUCGAGUUCAAGCCGCGGCAAACCGAAGAAACGUAUAUUGAAAUCCGACGGUCUAAUUACACAGUGUGCCAGGACACAUCGGCCGCAUUCCCGGACGCGCUACGCGAGUAACAAUGCACUGGCUGUGCCUAGAACCGCCUGGUAUAAUCCAACACGAAAUCAUGCACGCGUUGGGCUUUCUACAUGAACACAGCCGGCCCGACCGCGAUGCGUACGUACACGUAGAUGCCAGUAAAAUGUACCCGGGCAUCCCCGAAAUAAAUCACAAAAUAUUUCCACAAAUGGCCACGUUCGGACUUCCGUACGAUCCAGAAUCACUAAUGCACUAUGGUUUGGAAGUUUCGAGAAUGCACGACCAACCAGCCAUCGUGUCGAGGAUGCAUCCACCGCCACGAAGAAUGGGGCAGCGGUAUGGCCUGAGUCCACUAGAUAUCGCUAAGCUGAGGAGAGCGUACAAAUGCUCACCGGAGGAAGCUGACCUGACAACGCCAGACUCGGAAAGGGAUUAUUCGGGUUUGGCCAUCCAUGUCACAUUUCUAAACGCCAGCGAACUGCAGGAACAGAAGGAACAACGGGAGAAAGAACGGAUGCGGGCAAGAUACGGCAAUAUACUUGCUGACUAUUUCGGGUUCGCGUUACCAAAGGGCGAGCCUGAGAUGGACGAACAGUGGCAGCAGUUCUAUCAACAACUGUACUACAGCUUCGGCGCCACCGGCACACUCCGUUCUUCAGUUUUUCUAACAACGCUCUUAUUACUCCUUACACCACUAAGCUAAUCGUGGUCGGUGGCGACAACCGGUGGUUACAUCAACUUACAUGUUUGAUGUACUGUAUAUACUAUUGAAGUACUAUCA